GAGAUGUCCCAUCCGAAAGGAGUAAGACCCCUUGAAGACGACGAGGUAGAUAGGGCAGAGGUGGAAGUGCAGCAAUGCAUGGAGCUGACUGCUACUAAUCGGUCGAGGGCUUGACCUAAAA
rnacentral:rRNA from 1 species